rnacentral:lncRNA from 1 species
GGAGAAGACAAGCUAGGGGGAGGGGCAGGGAGCAGUGGGGAGGCAAAAGGAGAGCCAGGGCAGGGGGCAUCUGGGAGAGCCUGCUGAGCAGCCCAAGGGAGUGAGCUGUGAGGGGUCAGGGGAAGAGAGGCAGCUUGGCCAAGGCCCCCGAGGCAGGGAGUGCCUGGUGUGCUCUGGGGAGAGAGAAAGCAAAUACGAUGAUCCCUCCUCCUCCAUUCCUCUCUUCCCUGGCAACCGGCUCAGAGCUUGGAGACUCAAAAAUUGAUUCGCUCUGAAUUUCCUAAGUUUAUCUAUUAACUACCUAACAGGCCAUUCGCUUGUUCACAGUGUGCCUCUCGGCAGAAGGCAUCCGCCAGCUGACAGUGAUGCCCCCGCGAGCGGUCAGGCCACACACACCCCAGGAUAUAGUCGCUUGCUGGCGACUGGGGUACCACUGGAUGGAGUCAAGGACAUAUCAAGGGAGAUCUCCAUGUUUGAAAAGAGACAACUCCCCAAAAAUGGAAGAUUCACGAGGCUGAAUACAAAAUGUGAGACCUCUUCCUACCCAACAAACGGUCGACACUGACAACCCAUCAACACUGACAACCUGCCAACCUGAGGAAUGGCAGCACCCAGGGAAAGGGGCGGCCCCAACGCUGCUGUGUGAGUGGACACUGCAGGGAGAGUGGCGGCACCUGCAAAGACAGAAGACUCGAGGACCCUCCUCGGCAGCCCCACUGCCAGGGACACACCCUAAAGAAACUCUCACACCUGCGCCCCAGACGCAUUCAGGGCCCGGGCCGUGACGGUGCUGGCCACAGUGUGCUGAGUGACAAUGGAACACAGGAGACAACCUAGAUUUCCAUUGGGAUGGGGGCACGCAGGACAGUGUUCACACUACAGGUCGCCACGCAGCAGCCUGCGAUCAAACACAUCGACGAGCACAGGUGUCAACAAGACUGUUGAGUGAAAAGUACAAGUUCCAGGUUUUUUAUGUAAAGUUAAGAAAAACACCCACACAAAACAAUCCUAUAUAUUAGUUAUGGAUACUUAUAUCCAUGUGUAAAUGUACCCGAAAGAGCCUGGGAGGAAAAAUACAAAAGCAGUAGUUGGAAGGAAAUGGGUUACUUAAUAUUUCUUUGUAAUACUUCUUAUAAUUUUUUUAAAAAAGGACUUAAAGCCAAAAUGACAAAAGAGUAACCAUUUUCAAUUCUGUGUAGAAGAGAUACUGUGUUCAUUUUAUUAUUUCUGGGAUUUUUCUGGAUUUUUAAAGUUUAUCCAAUAUAAAAAAAAUAAAAACUGCACUGUUGGCUGGGCCAUGCCGGGCUGAGGGCUUCCUUGCCUUGCUCUGUACCUGCUCCCACAUGGGCCACCAGGCUAGUGUCUGUGAGCCCUGCCAGGCUGAGCAGGGAAGGGCACACACUCCCUAUAGAGCUGGGCAGGGCAGGGCCCCAGAAAGCGGCCCCUCUUGGCUGGCUGACCCUGCUGCCCAGGCCUCUGGGGAAGAUUCGGGAGCAGAGACAGCAGAAAAGGAUGGGGCAAGGGAGGGGAAAGGCCAGUGGCCUCGUCACACAUGAGCAGCUGUGGGCCUGAGGCCAAGCCCUUCCUUUGGGCAGGGAGCUCAGCGCC